GUGUCAUAUUUUUCAUCCCAUAUUUUGCUUAUUGUUUAUACGGAUCUCCAUUAGCUUCCACCAUAGUGGUUGCUACUCUUCCUGGGGUCCGUUAAAAUACAGAUACAGUUACAAAAUACAUACAUAAAUAAAAACAAGUUUACAAUUC